rnacentral:lncRNA from 1 species
UGGAAAAAACGGAGUCCCAUACGAAAAUUGUGUGGCAAUCUUUUGGAAUUUAUUCUCAUGAUUCGAUGCCAAAGUCUAAUGAUAUUACACCGCCUACGAAUAUAGGGAGUUUGUCCAACCCAUGUCACCACAAAUUGCUGGAUUCGGUGCACUUUUUCCGACACCAAGAAAAGUUCUUAUAGCCCUGUUUUGAAGGGUCUCUAGUUUAUCAUAUAUCUUGUAGCCCCACACUCCCGAUGAAUAGUCCAUGACUGGGUUCACCAUACUACUGAAAAGCUUAGUAAACGUUUCAUAAUCUAGUCCAUCAAUCUGGUAAUACUUUGAUGUUAGGGCACCAAGAGCUCUGCUACUUGC